AACAGCCGCGGUAAUUCCAGCUCCAAUAGCGUAUAUUAAAGUUGUUGCAGUUAAAAAGCUCGUAGUUGAAUUUCGGGAUUGACGUGAUGGUCAUGCCUUAAGGGGUAUGAACUGUUACAGUUGAUUUCUCACCUUCUGGAGAAACUUGAUGUCCUUUAUUGGGUGUCUUGCGGAUCCAGGACCUUUACCUUGAAAAAAUUAGAGUGUUUAAAGCAGGCAUUUUUGCUCGAAUACAUUAGCAUGGAAUAAUAGAAUAGGACGGCAUGGUUCUAUUUUGUUGGUUCUAGGAUCACCGUAAUGAUUAAUAGGGAUAGUUGGGGGCAUUAGUAUUCAAUUGUCAGAGGUGAAAUUCUUGGAUUUAUUGAAGACUAACUACUGCGAAAGCAUUUGCCAAGGAUGUUUUCAUUAAU
rnacentral:rRNA from 1 species